AGAGGGGGACAGAGGGAGGAACAGAGGCAGGAACAGAGGCAGGAACAGAGGGAGGAACAGAGGCAGGAACAGAGGGAGGAACAGAGGGGGGAACAGAGGGAGGAACAGAGGGGGAACAGAGGCAGGAACAGAGGGGGAACAGAGGGAGGAAAAGAGGCAGGAACAGAGGGAGGAACAGAGGGGGAACAGAGGCAGGAACAGAGGGAGGAACAGAGGCAGGAACAGAGGCAGGAACAGAGGGAGGAAAAGAGGCAGGAACAGAGGGGGAACAGAGGGAGGAACAGAGGGAGGAACAGAGGCAGGAACAGAGGCAGGAACAGAGGGAGGAAAAGAGGCAGGAACAGAG
ensembl:lncRNA